UAGAGACCAGUGUCGCAGCAACGUGAAGAAGCGGAAGGAUCAUUAAAUAAUUUGAUAUUCUAGCCCUCGGCUAGUAAUAUUUUAUUUACUGUGAACUGUAUUAUUAUUUGGCGUUUGAGGAAUGUUUGCUGGCUAUAUGGGUAAGCCAACAGAAUGUUAACCGAGCCAUAAUCAGACUUAGGUCUGGUACCCAGAUUAUUAUUUACCAAAAGAAUUCAGUAUAAAUAUUGUAACAUAGACGUAAGAAAUCUAUAAAAACAACUUUUAACAACGGAUCUCUUGGUUCUCGCAUCGAUGAAGAACGUAGCAAGUGCGAUAACUAGUGUGAAUUGCAUAUUCAGUGAAUCAUCGAGUCUUUGAACGCAUCUUGCACUCAUUGGUAUUCCAAUGAGUACGCCUGUUUCAGUAUCAAAAACACCCCACAUUCAAAACUUGUGUUUGAAUGGAAUUGAGGGCAAACGGCUUUACUGCUGUUCCCUUUAAAACUAUUAGGCCUGAAUUUGUCUGUUCUGCCUGAACUUUUUUUUAAUAUAAAGGAAAGCUCUUGCUAAUAAGACUCUCUUGGGGCCUCUCAAAUAAAUCUUUCUUAAAUUUGAUCUGAAAUCAGGCGGGAUUACCCGCUGAACUUAAGCAUAUCAAUAAGC
rnacentral:rRNA from 1 species